UCUGGGUUUUUUUUAGUUACACACAAGCGUUUUAUCUCAACAGGGGUUAAAUAAGAGUGACAGUUUAAAUACUACUAACUUUUAAUGCUUAAUUUGUCAUCUGCCAUAGCAUUUGUCAAUUUACUCACUAACGUUAUCCAGUGAGAAGCUAGAUACAUGCAGCCUGGCCAUUUUCCAAAUCUGUUAAGACAAUUUAGCGGUUUAUUCUCAACGAUAAAAAAAUUUCUUUUCCUGCAGUUCCAUUUGGGGUCAGGUCUGCGACUGUAGGGCAUGUCGAGUAUGACUAUAGUUGCUGCUUAGUAGCCAAGAAACAAGAUGAAUAGUCGAGAGAAAAGUGAAAGUUUGGCAGAAGUGAACGGCACAGUGGCCUAUCAACAUCUCCUGUAGGAACACAAUUUCUCCCAGCAUUGGAAUUUACUGUCACGCAUCACUUUGACAUCCAGUUAGUCAACAAAAGGUGCAGAACUCAUGAUUCACGUCGCAGUAUCCAACGCAGAGGAAACAACUUGGUUCAAUGAAAAUUCUUGUCGUCCAAAUUGUCGAGUUUUAGCUCAACCAAUCGUGCUGUCCUGUUGUGACCAUGAACUACACUCCCGUAGUGAUUUUCACUUUUAUCGCUUGGUUUGCCACAGCCACAAGUGAAAAUCGAACUGUUUUAGAAAUCCAAGGAAAUUCGUCAACCCUACGAGAAAUUUUAUUCGACGAGAAGAUCCGGUGCUGCAAAAGUGGGACUACAUACCUGACAGGAUUGGAUCAGUGCGUGCCAAAUUUUGUCUCAACUUUGUACACCAAGUCGUUUCCAAAUUAUUCGUUCGAGGAUCCUAACGACGGUUUGACUGAUUGUCCGGUUGGCUACGUGAGUCACACCACGGAAGAUUUUCAACUGGAAAACGGCACCUUAUUCGUUGGUAACAAACGGUUGGAGUCCAAUGAAUUUUGCAUCAACAGAGUAGAAGACGAAAAUUAUUCAACAUCGCCUGGACAUUUUGUGGCUCGUUAUUGCGUCCCUCAUCCUUGCAGUGAGUCGGUAUGCAUUCGAAAGUGUUGCCCUCCCGAAAUGGCCAUGGUCACGAAACAUUAUCAUGAUCUGUGGCCAAUUUCAAUAUGUGAGCCGCAUCCUGUACCGUUUAAUUUGUCACUUUUGCGUAACCCAAAAAAUGAACCAAUCGACGCCAAUUCUUUUUCUACCCGUGGCGGACUCGGAAUAAAAUGCGGUAAACUUCCACGAGAUAAACAAUUAGAUUUCUCGAUAAGGCACGACGGCCAGAUUGUUCUUCAUUUAGAAAAUCUACCCGUCGAGAAAACUGACCAGUAUUGCAUUGAAAAUAAUGUAGUUGACGGUGAAGACAUUAAACUAGUGGCUUUAGUGUGUUUUCCUGAGCAAGGAGAAGAUUCCAAAGGCGCGUUUCUAUUUGGAUGUUUGAAUCUUUUUGCCACGGUAUUUCUGGUGGCUACCUUAUUGGUUUAUGCAAUUCUGCCAAAAAUGCGCAACCUCCACGGCGUUGUCGUCAUGUGUUACUUGGCCUCCAUGACAGUCACGAACGUUUUUCAUGCCAUUCUGAUGCUCGUGAGAGGCAGCGAUAUGCCGCCCGGUCUUUGUUCAACGUUAGCAAUUUCAUUGCAUUUUGCCUAUAUCGCCAGUUUUUCUUGGCUAAACGUCUUGUGCUACGGAGUUUGGCGGAUGCUUAGUUACAUCAGUCUUCCGACUCGCACAUUCGUAUUGGGUGAGCAGUUUUUCUAUUCCUCCCUUUACGGAUGGGGUAUUCCAUUCAUUGUCGUGGUUGUCGGACAAAUCCUCCAGCACAGCGAUGUGCCAGACGACAUCAUUAAACCAGGAUUGGCUUCAAAAUUGUACUGCUGGUUUAAUCAUAAACAUAGAGGACCAUUAAUUGUAUAUCUGUACGCUCCGAUGAUGGUCAUGAUUGCUGCCAACGUUUUCAUGUUCGUUUGGGCUGCGUUAAAUUUUUACCAGAGAAGUUCCGAAUCAUCGCAGGUGACUAACCUUUCGCAUAAUGGCCAAAGAUUUAAAGUGAUCCUGAGUCUCUUCUUGUUGAUGGGUGUUCCGUGGACAACCGAAAUUAUUACUUUUUUAGCGGAUUCCAGUUUCGAAAGUGCCCUGGUCACCGACAUAUUCAACAUCAUUUUGCCCAUUUUCAUUUUCAUCAUCUUCGUCUGUAAGCCGAGCGUUUGGAAAAUGCUGAAACAAAAGUUCCCACGAUUGAGCCCCUUCAUGUCGGCCUGUGAAAAAGUUUCCCGUAUAAUUCCCAAGAAAAGAAACCUCCAUCAAUCUGCUAGUGCUAAAGAAAGCAAUGGCAUCAGCAGUAAUAAUAAUAACAAAACUUCCCAACAAACUCUAAAUACCGAUUCGACAGCAGACAUGAAACAAGUUUUCCAAUUACCAAUAACACGGUCAAUCUGAGUCUUCUGUUUUCUGAGUAAAGAAAAAAAGGUGAAAAAUAGACUCGACGAAUGCUGAUCCAACAACUUGAAGGAUUUUGCCUUUUCGGAAAAUGUUAUAAGAUUGCCCAACCACUCAUCUUACCUGCCGGCCUCCUGCCAGCCACCUGGCAGUGUAUCGAUCUCUGUCUAUCGGAUCGACUUUCUUCUGAUACACCAACCUAUCAAAAGCUGCCCUCCGGAGAAGUUUCUUAAAUCCGAUAAUUUCGAAGCGGUUUUUUAAAGAAAUUAUUACCUAUUACUAGGUUCACAUUUUGGAAAUAUAAGGAAAUCUAGAGUGUGUGAAAAUUCUAGGAAAACCGGAAAAAUAAAACUAAAUUCGGAAAAAAA
rnacentral:misc_RNA from 1 species